AGCACCGGAAGAAAGAAACGACAGAGGGCGGCAUUGAGAAAUCAAAAUCGCUGGAAGCUUCGAAUCUCCUCUCUAGAGAGAGAGUGAGAGAGAGAGAGUCCACCGCUUCUCAACAUCCCACUGCUCAAACCCUAGAAAAAACGCUAACCUGAAAAGGACGUCCUAUAAUUAGAAAAAUCUUCUCCCUUUUCCCUCUCUCUCUCUAACCUUUCCUCUUUUAGAGCCUGUGAUCUUCGUUCUUGAAGGAUUUCUGCCGCAGAUCCCGCUCCGGAAUCGAUGUUCCAGCUCUCGGAUUUUCUUUUCUGAGAGGUUUAGCUCCAAUAUCUGGUUGCAGGAAUUAGCCUUUUGGGAUGCUUGUUGAUGUCAUGAUACUUAUUUAUAGUGGGGUCCUUAUCUUCAUCGGUUCGGAUCACUGACCCAUGUAUAAUUUCACCUAUUUAGUUCCUUAUAGUAAUAAUUUCACCAAUGAAGAUAAGGACCCCACUAUAAAUGGACAAUAAAUUAAAAAAAAUUAUGAGGAUGUCGAUAUUGAUGAUGAACUAGACCCUGCGAUGAAGGAAGAACUCGACAGAUUUCCAUGUGGUAGGAUAAGAUCGUGUUGUUCGUGAUGGAAUCUCAGCAAGCUCAAUCUCAAUCGCAGUCGUCAUCUGUUAGAAGCCACACCGCGCUACCUCUUGUCGAAAGAAGAAAUCAGAGGAAGCUAGUUUCUUGGCUGAUCUAAGGGAUCACAUUGAUGAAUUUGUUCAUGCUUCCAUGGACAAACACAAGACACGCUUUACGAAGACCAUUCAAAAGAUGUUUGGAAUGUCGAAGGUUGUUGCUGAAAGGAAUUUCGGUCUUAAUGAAGUUGAAAGUUCUCUGCCUCUUCAAACAAUAGUCUCAGAAAAAUAAUGCAGAAGAAGAUGGACGGGCAAUGUUAUCUCAGGGUCUGCCAAGCACAACGGCACCGGUGAUGACGGACGCAACCAUGAAUUUGUAUUAUUUGUAGAACUUAAUGUUGUGUAACAGUUUGAUUAAGUUAAACUUUAAAUAGACUGUUGUAAACUGUUUUGUUGGUAUUGUGGCUUUCAUGAUUGAUUGUUUCA